rnacentral:rRNA from 1 species
GAUGAACGCUGGCGGCGUGCCUAAUACAUGCAAGUCGAGCGAACGGACGAGAAGCUUGCUUCUCUGAUGUUAGCGGCGGACGGGUGAGUAACACGUGGAUAACCUACCUAUAAGACUGGGAUAACUUCGGGAAACCGGAGCUAAUACCGGAUAAUAUUUUGAACCGCAUGGUUCAAAAGUGAAAGACGGUCUUGCUGUCACUUAUAGAUGGAUCCGCGCUGCAUUAGCUAGUUGGUAAGGUAACGGCUUACCAAGGCAACGAUGCAUAGCCGACCUGAGAGGGUGAUCGGCCGCACUGGAACUGAGACACGGUCCAGACUCCUACGGGAGGCAGCAGUAGGGAAUCUUCCGCAAUGGGCGAAAGCCUGACGGAGCAACGCCGCGUGAGUGAUGAAGGUCUUCGGAUCGUAAAACUCUGUUAUUAGGGAAGAACAUAUGUGUAAGUAACUGUGCACAUCUUGACGGUACCUAAUCAGAAAGCCACGGCUAACUACGUGCCAGCAGCCGCGGUAAUACGUAGGUGGCAAGCGUUAUCCGGAAUUAUUGGGCGUAAAGCGCGCGUAGGCGGUUUUUUAAGUCUGAUGUGAAAGCCCACGGCUCAACCGUGGAGGGUCAUUGGAAACUGGAAAACUUGAGUGCAGAAGAGGAAAGUGGAAUUCCAUGUGUAGCGGUGAAAUGCGCAGAGAUAUGGAGGAACACCAGUGGCGAAGGCGACUUUCUGGUCUGUAACUGACGCUGAUGUGCGAAAGCGUGGGGAUCAAACAGGAUUAGAUACCCUGGUAGUCCACGCCGUAAACGAUGAGUGCUAAGUGUUAGGGGGUUUCCGCCCCUUAGUGCUGCAGCUAACGCAUUAAGCACUCCGCCUGGGGAGUACGACCGCAAGGUUGAAACUCAAAGGAAUUGGCGGGGACCCGCACAAGCGGUGGAGCAUGUGGUUUAAUUCGAAGCAACGCGAAGAACCUUACCAAAUCUUGACAUCCUUUGACAACUCUAGAGAUAGAGCCUUCCCCUUCGGGGGACAAAGUGACAGGUGGUGCAUGGUUGUCGUCAGCUCGUGUCGUGAGAUGUUGGGUUAAGUCCCGCAACGAGCGCAACCCUUAAGCUUAGUCGCCAUCAUUAAGUUGGGCACUCUAAGUUGACUGCCGGUGACAAACCGGAGGAAGGUGGGGAUGACGUCAAAUCAUCAUGCCCCUUAUGAUUUGGGCUACACACGUGCUACAAUGGACAAUACAAAGGGCAGCGAAACCGCGAGGUCAAGCAAAUCCCAUAAAGUUGUUCUCAGUUCGGAUUGUAGUCUGCAACUCGACUACAUGAAGCUGGAAUCGCUAGUAAUCGUAGAUCAGCAUGCUACGGUGAAUACGUUCCCGGGUCU